UGAAAAGCAAGGGGCACAGGAGGCGAUGAGAAAAAAAAAAAUCCCCUGAGAGCAGCUUGGGAAAGGCCUUGAAUGUUCCAAACAGAGAGACUUCCUGGAAGUGAUGGGGGCACUUGGAGGAUUUUCAAUGGAGGAGGGAUGAGAUCAGAUGAAGUUCUUUGAAAGGCCACUGGCUGGCCGUGGGCAGCAACUGGAAACAUGGAGGAUACAGAGCCUCUGCCUUCCACCAGCCAGCCGCCUCCCAUCGCCCCUCCUGGAACCACAAGAGAUGCAUUCUUUACAAACAGCCUGCUCGCCAACCCAGCCCUUAUCUCAGUCUGCUUUUCAGCUUAAAAGAAGUUUCUGAAAGCCCUCUUUGGAAAACAGCCUCUCUGACUGCAAUAAUAUACAGGUCUGAUGACCAAGGAGGAUUGGUCACCCCAUAGGUGAGGGGGAAGAUUUCUGUACCAUCUUCUGCUGCUGUGGAGAGGACCGCAAUUCCUCAUCAGAAAACCUGGGCUCAGCUUUGUUCCAAGACAUGUGAGCCAGUCCGUGAGGAUGAAGAGGAUGCUUGUGGUCCAUCCAGAAUGUUUGGUUUGAAUGUGACAUGUCCCCAAAAGCUCAUGAGACAAUGAAACAAUGUUCGGAGAUGAAAUGGGUAGAUUAUAAAAGCGAAAACCUAAUCAAUGUGUUAUCCUUUCGAUGGACUGAUAAUUUGAAAGUGCUACUAUACU